UAUUUUUCACUCUCAGUAAAACUCACCCCUAACUUCUCUUCUCCCUCGAAGAAACUCCACUUUUUCAAUUUCAACUUAAUGGAAUCUUAAGAGCAAGAUUAAAGGUCUGGUUUUGGAAGAAACAAUCAAAGUGAAGGGAUUAAUGACCAAAGUACAUGUAUUGAAGUCGGUAAACGCUUCUGAAGUCAGGGUGCUGAUGCUGUCAAAAUUCUGGUUUUGGGACUGUGGGUUUGCCCUUCAAGCGGCACGAACGGAUGUUCGAGAGCGUACAGAACAGCUCGGUGAUGCUGGAAAUCUCAGGUGGGUUUGUUUAAGUAGAGACAUGGCAACCAUAAGUCCAAAGCAUAGGAUUUUAAUUUAUUUUCAUGUUGGUAUAUGAUUAAUAACCUAGAUAACUCAUAAAUGAAUUAAUUAUGACUGUGUUGGUUGUAUCUAUGAUUGAUGGUUAAGGUCUUAUAAAUGAUUAGAGACAAUUAGGGACUGCUUUGUAACUCUGUUUAUUGAUUUUGCAGUUUUGCACGAAAACUUGCAUCGGUGCAAGGCUUGGUCGAAUCGGUUCAACCAACUCAGAACAAGUACAAUGGGUAAAACUGGGCCUAUUGAGUCGGUGCGUCAUAAUGAUGAACCGGUGCAAGAGGUGCCAGAGUUACAGGUUGGAAAUUCUGGGCAAAUUGAACCGGUGUGAGCAUGGCUUGAGUCAGUGCAAGAAUCCCAGGAAAACAAAAUAGUUUCUAAGUAUUUAUGUAAUUAAUGUGAGUAAGACCAACGUGGCAUAGCUAUGUCACAACGGGUAGUGGAGAACAUCCUAAGAGGAGUACAUCCUUAGUGGACCUUUCGAGAUAUACUCACCUCGGAAGCUUACUGUAAAAUGAACAAGAUUAUUCUAGAUAAAUCAAUAUGAGUAAAAGAUCAGUUUUAAUUCCGCAAUUUUAAUGUUUCCCGAUUCAAUUAUGUAUAUUCCUAUUGAUUCUCUAGAUAAAUCAAUAUGAGGUGUAAUAGAAUGUAUCACUAGUGAUGGAUAGAAGAUCUGAGGCGAAUGUCAUAAGGCGAAGAUCUGAGGCGAAUGGACAUUGGAUCAGGUAGGAUACUAUAUUAUGUUACCACAAUAUACUCAGAUAGUACCAUUUCUUGUAUUUAUUGUCUCCAUGACUCCACUUCAAAUUCCAUUCUUCACACGAUACAGAACAUUCAGCUGGCCCUAAUUCAUUUCCAUAUAAGACCACAAAUAUGAUGCCAUUUUUGUUGAGUCACCUUUGGACUCUGCUUGUAUUACGCGAACUAUUCUGUAAUUGCAUUGAUGAUAUCACCAUCUAAUUCGGGAUUCGACAUUUUCAUUUCUAUAGUGAUGUGCUUUUGGUCUGUAGCAUAAUCUUAAAAGCAGGCUGUUGUGCAGUCCAAGUUACUAAGUGCUAGGGGUGCAGAAGUGGAUUGGUAGCUAUUAAUAAGACACCAGAAACAUUGCCCUUGAGAAACUUCUUGUUGAUUGUUGGUGGGUGUAGCUGAUGUUAGUCUUAUUGUGAAGUGUUCAGAAUACAGUCCUUGUUAAAUGGUAAAUUUGAAACUUAUAUUUGUGUACCUUUCCUUCUACACUUUGCUUGCAUACAGAGAACCAAAAAGGCAAACUUCAGAUCAUACAGGCAUGUCUAACGACUGUUUCAAGAGCGGCAAUAUAGAUUCUGGUGGUACCAAGCUUUAUGGCAGAAAAGUGUGGGGUGAAAGAUGAUGGGUCUACAUCAAAAAAAUCACAUAUCUGAAGCUGAUAAUGAACUCAGCUUUCUUGAUAAUGAUGGGUGGCUGGAUAUAGGAGACUUAGAAGAUGUUGACAGGAUGUUGUCAGAAACCCUCCAAUUUAAUAGAAAAGCUGUGAUUUAACAUUUGGAAUGGGGAGUCUCACUAAUGAAGAGGAGUUCUGCUGGUUUUCUUCUUCACACAGUGCUGAAGGUUCAGAUGAUGCAUUAAUGUCCGACUUAAAGCUUCAUUGUGCUGACAUGAGUCCAUUGAAAAAUAUAUCUGAAUACAAUAUGGAUUCAUCCAAGGACAACAUUGAAGUUCUUCCGAUCGGUAUAUUCUAGAAUAAUGUUUUUAUGGUAUAAUCUAGAAUGGGAUUCGGUCGGUCUCUGAAUAUGAUCAUUUUUAUGGUAUAUUCAUGACCUAAUUUUUUUAAAUCCUGGUUAUAGUUGUAACUAAUACUGAGUUUGUAUUUAGGGAAAUCUAGUAAUCACCCCAUUCGUUGUGAAUAAUGUUUUUUCAUGUUUCACUAUUUUCACUUAAUGGGAACUUGUGUUUGACCUUUAUGCAGGAC